CAGUGACCAUUACAGAAGAUGAGUGGAUAAAAAAGCUGUGGUACAUCGGAUACCAUGGAAUACUGUGCAGCAGUACAAAAAGAAGAAUCUCACCCUUUGAGGCGGCAUGGAGGGACCCGGAGAGUAUCAUGCUAAGUGAAAUAAGUCAGUUAGAGAAAGACAAGUAUUACAUGAUCUCAUUCAUAUGUGGAAUCUAAGUAACAAAAUAAGCUGAUGAAU